rnacentral:misc_RNA from 1 species
UUACCGGCGUAAGCUUCAAGAAGAUGAUAACUCAAAUGGUCCUCAGAGAGGUGACAGCCUUGCAAUUUUGAGGGCAGAGUUGAAGACUCAGAGGAAGCAUGUGAAAAGUUUGAAGAAGAAAUCACUUUGGUCCAAGAUUUUGGAAGAGGUAAUGGAGAAGCUGGUAGAUAUUGUCCAUUUCUUGCACUUGGAGAUCCAUGAAGCUUUUGGUAGUGCUGAUG